GUGGCGAACGGGUGAGUAACACGUGAGUAACCUGCCCCUGACUCUGGGAUAAGCGUUGGAAACGACGUCUAAUACUGGAUAUGACGGCCGAUCGCAUGGUCUGGUCGUGGAAAGAAUUUUGGUUGGGGAUGGACUCGCGGCCUAUCAGGUAGUUGGUGAGGUAAUGGCUCACCAAGCCGACGACGGGUAGCCGGCCUGAGAGGGUGACCGGCCACACUGGGACUGAGACACGGCCCAGACUCCUACGGGAGGCAGCAGUGGGGAAUAUUGCACAAUGGGCGCAAGCCUGAUGCAGCAACGCCGCGUGAGGGAUGACGGCCUUCGGGUUGUAAACCUCUUUUAGUAGGGAAGAAGCGAAAGUGACGGUACCUGCAGAAAAAGCACCGGCUAACUACGUGCCAGCAGCCGCGGUAAUACGUAGGGUGCAAGCGUUGUCCGGAAUUAUUGGGCGUAAAGAGCUCGUAGGCGGUUUGUCGCGUCUGCUGUGAAAUCCCGAGGCUCAACCUCGGGCUUGCAGUGGGUACGGGCAGACUAGAGUGCGGUAGGGGAGAUUGGAAUUCCUGGUGUAGCGGUGGAAUGCGCAGAUAUCAGGAGGAACACCGAUGGCGAAGGCAGAUCUCUGGGCCGUAACUGACGCUGAGGAGCGAAAGCGUGGGGAGCGAACAGGAUUAGAU
rnacentral:rRNA from 1 species